CCCUUAGAUGUUCUGGGCGGCCCGCGCACUACAAUGGCGUGUGCAGCGAGUGCCGAAGUAGAGUUUUCCGAGGUAUUCUUGCAAUGCUCGUUUUGAUGGGGAUAGACCCUUGCAACUGUUGGUUUUGAACGAGGAAUUCCUUGUAAGCAUGGUUUGUCAUCCGACGCUGAAUGCGUCCCUGCCCUUUGUACACACCGCCCGUCGCUCCUACCGAUGAGUCGUCCGGUGAAGUUCGUAGACCUCGUGAUCGCGGAUCACUGGGGGAAGCAAAAUGAACCUCGCGGUUUAGAGGAAGGAGAAGUCGUAACA
rnacentral:rRNA from 1 species